rnacentral:lncRNA from 1 species
CUUUCUUCCUCAGCUUCCGACACCGGGUGGGACAGAGGAUCACAGCUCGCUCCUGACUUUUGGCUGACUUUGGACAAAUUGCCCUCUCUGGGCACCAGUUUCACUUUUCAGAUGGGACAGCGCCUGCCUAAGGGGACCCUGCUCUGAACUCACGCUGUCUGUCCAAAAGGACUGCUCAGAGGGGCGGUUUUCUCCAGAGCCACCUGCUUGCUGUGCUUCGCUCCUGGACAUGGAUUUGCUUGUCUUCUGAUCAGAGUUGUUAAAGGCAGCUUCACAGAACUUUCUGCAACUCUAGAUAUAAGGUGAAUUCUCUAAGCAUGUGAAUUCUUUCUGUCCAAGCUGGUUCCAAAAUGGUCUAGCAGGUGGCUUCGCCUGAUAAACUGGGGAAGGAAAAACAGUAUCCAGCUCCAGGGCUCUCUCACCGGGACUGAGAUGAAUAAUUUGAUCAGGAUACCUCAGAAGAAUAACCAUGGGAGUGUCUUCUGAUGGAAGCACGUCUGACAAUGGAAAUGGCGGGCUCUGGAGGACAGGAACACCAGGCAGAGGUCACCUUCUUGAAUGCUGUACUUUCCUCGCAGCUGCCUCCGGGGCAUGGUGUGAUGCGUAAGUCAACUUUACAUUUCCACUGCACCAGAUUUUCGUUAGGGCCAUGCAGUACAUGGCCAUCCCUAC